GCUUGAAGUGCUGCUUCCAGCCCAAGCUUUGUUAUGUGGGGGUUCCAUUGUAGCAGCUGGGCUGUAAAUUAAGAUUCUUUAGAGAGAAAUCGGCAACAUUGAGGAAGAUGGCCGAGAGGAGAUUGUACUUUUAUGAGAUUGCCCAAACCACCCUUUGAUUAUCCAGUUCAUCCUGACGAAACAAGGUGAGGCCUAGUAAUGCCGAAAAGAAAACUGCUUCACGUAACCAAAUGUUAAAACGUCAUGGGCUUUAU
rnacentral:lncRNA from 1 species